GGCGCUUCGUUGGUUAACAAGAUAAACGUUUCAGAGUUUAUGCUGAUAUUUAUUUUGUAGUAUCCGUGUUUGUCUUAUCAAACCAGAAUCUCGUUGAGACUAAAACAGUUUCACAUCUAUAAACAUCCGCUAAGAAGUUCGUGUUUACAGACCACAGGAGUAACAUCCUGCUACAACCUGCGUGCUACAGCAACAGGAUCCAAGCUGCCCGCUUGUGGCUCACAAAGAUCGCAGUUUAGUGGAAUCCCAUCAGGGAUCCAGAGAGCUACUAUGUGUCUUAGGCCACCUUUAACAAGAAGCAGUACAGCAAUUUCUUCAAGUACCGACAAGCUCUGUGGACCUACAGCAACUAACCCUGUGACCAAGACUUCACAAGCAAAGAAGCACCCUCUAACCAGAGCUGACAGUUUGCUAGUGUCAAAGAGGAAGAAAAUGGAUGCUUCUGAUCCAUGCAAUAGUGUCGGAGCUCCAGUAUCUGCCAGUGAUGCUACAAACAAAGCGACAAUCCUCAAGCAGCCCAGUAAGAGAGCUUUGCCUGCCAAAGCUCAAGGAGAAGGUUGCGCAAAAUGUGCUGAGCUUGAAGAACAACUUAAACUGAUAUCAGAAGAAAACACAAGGCUGAAAGAAGAGUUGCUGAAAUACACUAAACAAGAUGUCCCAGUGAAACCCCGGUGUUAAUACUUUAAAGCAUAUCUGCUGUUUUUAAAUGUUAAUAAUUACGUAAAAUAAUUUACUCACUAAAGUAGAAAUGUUUUUUGUUUUUUUCUAUUUUGCAGUGAGGAUGAGAUUUUGUCUGUUUGUGUGUUUAACAUUACACUGUUUAUUUUCAACUCUAAUAAAUUUAAUAAUAU
ensembl:lncRNA